GCCAAAUCAAAAUACAGAUAAUACUUUGCAGCGUCAUCCGGAGCGAAACAUUUUAUUUUACGCCAAUGAAUAGCAGUGGCAGCUAGGGGUGUGCAACUCCUCUAGAGCAGUUUUGAGAGAAGGUGCCGCUGACCGUGACACCACCGUGGCAGCCUCCCGCGACAAUUUCACGAAUAUUCGUCACGCGGCGGCGUGAAAAACGCCUUGCAGGUGACGCGGGGUCAACCGCGACCUGGCGGAGAGAGAGAGGAGAGGACCGAGAGGGCACUCGGUGGCUUGCGCGCGGCCACCCGUCCCCUCGCCCGUAACACAACCACGCUGAUCGACGUCGCGCGGUAACGAGACGGAAGGAUCCCUUCGGAAAUCUCGCAGAUCAGUGCCGUUGACCCUGUGUGUUGGGAGGCGGGUAUCGUGCAGAGCUCUCUUUACCUCCGAGAUCCCUUUCAUGAAGUGACAUCUGGUACAACAGGGUAAGGGGGUCAGCACUUUCUCACCCGCUCUGCGUGUGAGAGUGACGCUCGUUGCACGACGGUCGAACCGAUGUUUAGAUUCUCGGAGCUGGAAUUUUUUUUUUUUGCCCAAUUAAGUGCAGGACCAAAUUGAAUGUGAUGUGACUUUUUUUUUGUAUCCGGUCAUUGGUGACCGGGCUGAAACUCACUGCACCCAACUCACUGCACUUGAGAACCCGGUUUAAUGGCAGGUGGCACGGACCUUGAUUUAAACCCUGGAACUCGGUGGUGCCGGCUCAGAGCUCUGACCUCUGAUCCACCCAACCACCUAUACAUUGACGCAGCCCCUGCCUUCUCAUUUACAUUCACACGAGGGCUCCUGCGAUGCCAUGUUUAGUGAUGCUAACUUAAAUUUAACGAUUAGCGCGAUAACUUUGCAACUGUGUUUCGCAUUUAUCCGUCUUGUUUUUGCGCCCUGAUGCACUUCAAGUUCGGGUAAAGAUCGCUUCAUUGUCAUUCAACCUCCGCUCACUCAACAGCGAUCCUUUUUUCCGAGCAAGUUGUCAGAAAACGAUGGCGUCAUCGUAUCGCCAUGACGUAAAUUAUUCCAGAAAACGUGCCACAAAGCGCUCGUUCAAUGAGCAUUAUCCGUUUCGAUUUGCUUUGAUCACGAUUGUGAACUUACAUUUUUGUAGUGUCAUAAACAUUUUGACAGGAAAUUAAAUCUUAAUGAGCAACGGUAAUCAGAACGUAACGAUAUUUUUCUAAUCGGACGAUGCUUUUAUUGUGCAUCCUGCGACGUGCUGCAUACACGUCGAAGUGUCGCCCGAUCGCGGCAAAGCCCGUUUCACGAUGAAUGUUGCCUAGCAGACUCCGCAAAUAAUUAAAUUCCAACACUUUUUUUUAUGAUGAGAAAGCCCAUCACAGCAGGAGCUCGCGUGCAGGCUGGAAACAAAUGUAAAUAACAACACGCAGAGGUGUAGGUGAUGGAGUGGGUGAGCGAGUGGAUGGGCGAAUGAGUGAGCGGGUGGGCGGGUGAGUGUGUAAAUUUACAAAUAUACAAAAUGGUGUGUUGCUCACAAACAGCAGGAGGGCAACGCAUGAGUCCCAAUUCAUGUGGCUUGUGUGCAUGUCACGCAACCACCCACAUUGCACGUACAACGCUGUCAGCCUUGUCCAGACCACUAGCUCAUGAGCUGAGCGUGUGGCCGCGUUGUUGACUCUCGCGGUGAAGGAAAGGAAAAAAAAAACCUAUGGGGCGGUUGGUAUGGAGACCCGGAGCGAUGGGUGCAGGCGAGAGCCGUGCUGCCUGACGUCACUCUACCUGUGGAGCGCCGAGCGGAGCCGAGGUGGAAGCUCAUUUCUAAAUUAGGCGACGAAAAUAAAUACACCCGAGUGUUUGCUCGGGGAGGCUGAGGAGCGAUGGAGACGUUUACUGUACGCGAGCGAGAGAGCGAGGGAGGAAGGGAGUGAGCGUCGAGCCUCUAAUUGACGUGUCGCCAGAGUGGCGAUUACGCCCAUUUGCCCCUCGAAGAGAACGCACCCGCAAUCUGCUUGCGUGCCCACGUGUUUGACAAAUACCCCCCCCCCCCAUUGUGAGUAAUUUGUUGGCAUUGUGAAUUAUGAUCGUAUUGUGUGCGCACGCAAGCGCAGCCUUUGCUGCGCUGCGAACCCGGCCACAUUGCUUCGAUUCAGUAUUGGGUGGUCUUGACCCUCCCCUAGGUUAACUUAGCCUCAAAUGAAAAUCUGGUGUCUUGGGGAGACAAAAGCAGCUGGGCGUGGUGCUGGUGACACCACCCCAUCAUGCGCUCUCCAGCCUUAAUAGGUGCUCGCUAACAACACUUUGUGUGUGUGUGUGGGGACCAGGUGCGUAGCAAUUAAGCACUACCAACCUUGUGACACAAUUUCAAUUCCAACAUUCUCAGCCAUGGCCAACAUCAGCGGUAGAUCUCUGAACCGGUCCUGGUCCUCAGUUUGACUUGGCCAUAAAUGAGUAUCUGGUGCGGUGUCUAAGCAUCGGUUACUGUGGGGUUCAUGCACACCACCCCUUCGUGUACCGUACCGACCUUCAUAACUGUUCGAUAACAGCACUUGCCCUUAAAGUCUUUUAAGGCUACACGGUGGGAUAUUUUUCUUUUGUGCAUAUACACACGCGUGUGUGUGCACAUGGGUCCUGUGGCCAUAUGUGCAGGGUACCUGACCCACUGCUUAAAAUUAUUAAGGGCCUUCGUGGAGGUGAGCCAGGUCCAGAAGUCAGAGAGCUAUUCCCUGUUCAACUUUCUACACGAAUCUUCUCUGGCCCCUCGACUAUUUUAAACAUUUUUUUCAUCCAGUAGUUUGAGAUCUUUUCAAUGGGAGGCUGAUUGAUGCCCGGGUGCGGUCAAGAGAUGGCUCUCUACUGGUUAACCAUGUUAUGUUAUGCUAAUGAGUUGUAAUUGCUGCUUACUUUGAGAAUGAGUUAGAGGCUCUGCUGCUGAAUUUGGAGCAUGCCACUAAGUGGUGGGGCUUUAAUGUCAACAAGAAACUCCAGGAUUCCUCGGCCACAGUUAAGCCCUCUCUUCUUUGUUCUUGCAAAGUGCAGGCUACUUUGGUUGGAGGCACCAAAGUAACACCUGCACCAGUUUGAAGCAUUCAGGCUGGGCCUGCCUGUGAUCCAUUACACACAACACCUGGGUCUGUCCUGUGACCGCCCGUCAGCACCGAGCCUUCGACGCUUCACGUGGCCUCCAAGUGCACCUAGCGUGGCACAGGCCAUGCGGUGAUGUCAUUACCAUAGUGGUGAAUGGCGGCUUUUGUUGUUUCCUUUUGUGUGUGUGUGCAUGCACGGGUGUAUUGUGUGGUGCCUCGCAUCUCCUGCCCGCCUUCAUAGGUGCUCGCUAACAGCACUUGCCGAAACAGUCUGUUAAAGGCGAUACAGGAGAGCUUCGUCUUUGUUUAUUGUUCAUGGCAACAGAGAAUGUAUUUACCAUGAUUCUACACACACACACGUACCAGCUGCGCAUUCACAUGCCCAAUUUUUAUCGCCAUCUAUGACUAAGGGCAACGAAGGAGGGGGAACCUACACAGCUAAUGAUUCUGAAAUGUCAGAAAAAUAUUUAAAUUAAAGAUGUAAAAAAAAACAUUUUUCCAGUGAAGACAAAACCCAUGCAUUGCUUUCCGCACGGCAUCCAAAGCAAGCCUUGUUUGUCUGCGUAUCGCAUCGCAUGCCAGGGAGAGAAGGAGAGAAAAAAAAGCUAUUCGCACCUUCCGGAGAGGUGUCAAAUCAUCAGAAGGUGAGAUGUCCCAGAGUGCGGUAGACACGGAUAACAUCACGUCUGCCUAAUGGUUGGAGGCACCAGAAGAACGGCGGCCCGCACCGCCGGGCACCAGCGCCGGGGAAGCCGGGUGCCGUCCCUCUCCCACGUGGCGCUCGGAGCUGCUGGCUCCCAGCCCCUCACCACCGCCGCCACCGCGAGUCUCCGAGUAGCGGCUUCCGACCGUAAGCGCCGAGCCGCUCUGCGGGUUUCGCGUGAGAGCCGCCAAACCCCCCAACUCUCCCCAUUGCCGCCGCCAGGCCUGGACGAAAGCUUGGGUCGUAACGCGGCAGCCAAGAGUGGCUGUCGUGCACAGAUGUUACAGUUGGCUGCGGGACGCGGUCGUGACACGAGGUGUGAGCUUGUGAGGGAUACGGGGUCUGCGUCGUUGGGGGGGGGGGGGGGUUGCGGUGGCCAGAAAUGGAAUUUUGACAUCGCCGUCCUCGUCAGUUGUCGUCCAUGAUCGCGGUGAUCGUCGUUUGGAACUUUGUCGUUGGAUCAUCGUCAACAUUAAAAUUACUGAUUUGACACCGGUAACCCAAGUGGCGAGUGAUAUCUCCACCGCUCCUGUGGCUCCCCCAAAGGCGAAUCUAAAACUUCCAAAGCCGGGGGGGCGGCAGUCCAAAAAUGCCAAUAUUUUUAUAAAUGGGGUCUCAAGGGGUAGGCAAUCAACCCCCCCCCCACCCCCUUAGAUCUGCCACUGGGGCCUGCCUUCUAUAACCUACACUGAUGAGCGUAAUGAAGUAUGGUCAAACAACCGCCCCCAUGACCGACACGGCAUGGGGAGGCCUUUAUCCAGCAAUGUGUUGACAAUGGGCUGUAAUCAUUAUUAUAGAUAUUGAUACAGUGCAAAUGCGCUGCGGAAUUUGAUAAUAUUAGUAGGCGGCAAAAACAACUGAACCACCACUCCACACCCCGCUAUCGUAGCCGAUUCACUUUCCUAAGCAUUUGUCAUAAUUAGUUUAGAUUAACUGCUGAAACGGGAGCUCAUACUCCCCAAAUGUUUAAUUUGCGGAAGUGAGCGGGGAUUUGUCCCCUGCUGAGGAUGACUUCCCACGGCCGUCUCCGUCGGGCAGCAUGGCGUGACCAAACUUGUGCACGUGCCAGCCAAGACGGCAAUACUUUCACAAUAAAAACCCUCGGAAGUUCCGUCCUCCGUUACUAAAUAUUUGCCGCGUUUUGUGCGACAGCAAUAAUGGAGUAAAAUGCGCACACGCAGCACGACGCCGCGGCGUAUCCCACUCGCCCGCGACUGGGAUAUAGGCGGAUAGGUGAAACGGUCGGAUAUGUUACGGCAUCGCGCGCAAAUACUGCACUGUGUCUGGGUGGUUAAUUGGUCAGGGCGGGCAUGUGACGGUGGGAUAUGCGACAUACUGAACCACCGCCAAAAAAUACCUCCUCUUAAACGUAACACCUUCCCCUUCUUUAGCAGGAAAUGUAUUCAAACUUUGGCAAGGGUGCGCAAGUGUCUCCGCAGAUCUCUGUCUCCCUGAGCUGGCGUUGAAGCCAUGGGAGGGAGCGGUGCAGUGGAGCACCCACUCGGCUGGAGGAGACGAUCGCACGCGCACGCACGCACGCAACACCGGCGUGAUGCGGAACACCGCCUCGGGAGAGACCCGCUGCUGCUGACGGUGCGUGAUGAUGUCACAGCAGUGAGCGCCCUCUCCACGAUGGCGGUCCCACAAUGGUGGCAGCUGUGACCGGUGGCUCGGUGAGACAUCGUCAGGAGCGCGGCGGAGCAGUUGAUGGCGCGGAUGAUGGUGCAGGUGAUGGUGCAGGUGGCGUCAAAGUGAUGGCGCAAGUGGUGGUACAGGUUGGUGGUACAGACAGGUGUUCUACAAGUGAUGGUGCGUGUAUUGGUUCAGAUGGUGAUGCAGGUGAUGAUGCAGCUGGUGAUCCAAUUGAUGGCACUUGUUGGUGCAGGCGGCGGCGCAGGCGGUGGCACAGGCCGUGGUUGCGGCAGCUACUCGCUUGGACCCAGCCGCAGCUUCCUGCCGGCGGCGGCAGCGGCAGAGGAGACCGCAGUGAACCGAGUGGCCUGGGAUGCCCGGGGAAACCUUCGCGGUGCGACGAGGAGAGUGAGCAGCGGCGGGUGAGCUGGCUUGGGUGAACGUCUGCGGAUGAGCAGCUACAGGUCAGCCGCUACGAGUGAACAGCUGUGGGCGAGCGGGCCUGGGUGAGCAGCCGCAGAUUUCCCAAGGACAGCUGCCUCAACAAGAGGAUGUCUCUGGGAAGACCGGAACAGGUGGCAACCCCCUAACAAUGCCACUGAGAUGCAGCGUUGAAUGGCACGGAGGCUGGACUUGCCUCUGCGCCCACACCACACUGACGGAGCUUCCUCUCAACGCUGUCUUCCCGGGGCCACGUCCCUCGCCUGAGACAUCCCACGGUGCCGUCUCUGGAGAGAAUCGGCCGUCCCAUCUCGGCCUGAUCGGUGGACGCCUGAUCGGUGGACGCCUGAUCGGUGGACGCCUGAUCGGUGGACGCCUGAUCGGUGGACGCCUGGCUGCUCCCGCUGUCUACGCUCGGAGUUUCUUCCAAGUCACCCUCCCGGAUCCCUACCUUCACCGUGACGGCACUGGGGACUUGGGCCCCUCUCGACCUCCGUUGUGUCCCCCCUCCGCCGCCAAAGCUGAGAGAAGGAAGCAUUCUAACAUUGCAGAAGUGAAAGGGGACCGCAUGCAACAAAAACAAUGAUGCGUGACUGAAAGUAGCCCGGGGGUGCGCUGUCCAGGGUGGAACACCGCACGGGUGAACAAGAAAGACCCUGCACACGAAUGUGGUAGCUACGCCAGUCUGCUCCGCGCUGUCUGAUGGCACCGGGACACUCCAUCAUUAGAUCAUCGCGAUUUUCGUUUUGCAGCUCGUGGGGCGACUUGAUUGUUCUUGCGCACACUCAGCAAGAUUUGGACCGAUCGGUCAACGGUUCGUCGGCCUGGAACUCACCUACCUACUCAUCCACCUACUCACCCACCCACUCACCCACCCACUCACCCACCCACUCACCUGCU